CGGGUGGUAAUGCCGGAUGCUCCGGUUGGAUGCAUGUCCUUCCGGGAAAGGUUCCAUCGGUAUGGGAUGGGGUCGCGUCCUAUCAGCUUGAUGGCGGGGUAACGGCCCACCAUGGCUUCGACGGGUAGCCGGCCUGAGAGGGCGACCGGCCACAUUGGGACUGAGAUACGGCCCAGACUCCUACGGGAGGCAGCAGUGGGGAAUAUUGCACAAUGGGCGCAAGCCUGAUGCAGCGACGCCGCGUGCGGGAUGGAGGCCUUCGGGUUGUAAACCGCUUUUGAUCGGGAGCAAGCCCUUCGGGGUGAGUGUACCUUUCGAAUAAGCACCGGCUAACUACGUGCCAGCAGCCGCGGUAAUACGUAGGGUGCAAGCGUUAUCCGGAAUUAUUGGGCGUAAAGGGCUCGUAGGCGGUUCGUCGCGUCCGGUGUGAAAGCCCAUCGCUUAACGGUGGGUCUGCGCCGGGUACGGGCGGGCUGGAGUGCGGUAGGGGAGACUGGAAUUCCCGGUGUAACGGUGGAAUGUGUAGAUAUCGG
rnacentral:rRNA from 1 species